rnacentral:snRNA from 1 species
GGAUAUGAGGUAACCUGGCUUUGACAUCUGCAAUCCCACUGGUCUGUAUUGACUGAAAUCCUUGGCUGGCUUCACAGGUGUGCCCCUGUCCUCUCAUAGCUCCAACUGUGUCCUCUCAGAACUGUACACUGGUCUAAGAAUGCUCACUUCCUGGAGAGAAGGGUUAAUUAGACCCCCUUUCCAGGUUUCACUGGCAUGUUUUUAUUAUCCUUUGAGUCUAUUUUUUAUAUGAUUAUUUAAAAUACCACGCCUUUCUCAUCUUUGAAAAAAUUAGUAUUGUUUCAUAA